CGUACUGGGCUGCAAGGGGCGGGUGGAGUGCGGAGGUGGCAAGUGUUGUCCGGAUUGAUUGGGCGUAAAGCGAGCGCAGGCGGUUUUUUAAGGCGGAUGUGAAGGCCCUCGGCUUAACCGAGGAAGCGCAUCGGAAACUGGGAAACUUGAGUGCAGAAGAGGACAGUGGAACUCCAUGUGUAGCGGUGAAAUGCGUAGAUAUAUGGAAGAACACCAGUGGCGAAGGCGGCUGUCUGGUCUGUAACUGACGCUGAGGCUCGAAAGCAUGGGUAGCGAACAGGAUUAGAUACCCGAGUAGUC
rnacentral:rRNA from 1 species